GUGUAUUUUUUUUUAACUCCCUGGUUUAAGCGAUAUAGAUGUUUGAAAUUCACGUGACGUCACAGGGACGAGCGGUACUUCCUGGUGCCUGCGGUUUCAGCUCAAUAGAGUGAGCAGCACACGCCUCAUCAGACUGUGCGCGGCUUCCACUCCCAUAUCGUAUGAGAAACACGGUUUGAAGUUCAGCUUGUUCUCCUGAGGGACACGUUAAAGACGUCUGCGCUGCUGUUUCUGUGGGUGUUCAGCCUGAGACACAACUUGAAUCCAACCAGUUUGAACAUUGACUCCAGGGACAGACGAGCCUGAAGGACACAGCUGUGACGACCAUGUUGUGUCUCUUAUGGCAAAGCAGAAAUAUUAAACACAGGGUUCUUUUCGAAAGUGUAUAAAAUCAGAAAGCAAAAAAUACACAUUGUUCUAAUAAAUGUUU